ensembl:lncRNA
GUCUGCUCAGAGGAGGGGAAUGUGCUUCCAGACUGUUUGGAGACAGAACAUUGCGUCUUGAAACAACAGUUCACUCGGAUCUAUGAUGCAAGAGAGAUUCAGUUUAGAUCGUGGUUCGAUGUGGACCCUGGUCCUGCCUCUCAGGGACACUGUUCUAUUUGCGUGGCGCUGCUGAACAAAAGGCCUGGUCACCCAUGGUGUGGAGAUGAGUGUUGGGGACCUAGAGGAGCAAGCUGGUUGCAGAUCUGAGGGUGCGGGUGAAGGUUGGAAAUUUUUCCUGUGCCGAUGUGAGGGACAGGGAAUGGAGCUGGGAAGGGCCCGACUCUCACCGCCGCCUGCAGGAGAACCAAUACCCUCUUAACCUCUAGUCCAUGCCCAGCUGUUUUGUCUAGGGAAGAGCCCCACUGUGGCUGCGGCAAGGUCUCAAUAGACUUCGUCGUUGUUCUACACCUCAGAGCGUACCAGACGGUGAUGGAGGAGCAGAAGAUGGACUCGAUGAUGGAGUGCACCAUCAUCGUCAUUGGCAGGUUGACUUUCUUCAGCUGUCUCAGGAAGAACAACCUCUGCUCAGCCUUCUUGGUGAUGGAGCUGAAGUUCAGCCCAGAAAACGAAAGGAAUCCACAGCGUUGAUGGGGUGAUGGGGG